rnacentral:miRNA from 1 species
UGAAAUAACCGAUUUUAAAAGUAGCACUUUUAAAAUCGAUCAUAAAAUAACCGAUCUUAAAAGUACUUUUAAGAUCGGUUAUUUAU